GCAGGCCACGCCGGGACGUCAGGGAGGACGUCAUGACGUAAAAGAAUCGAUGAAUCGUUUUAUCAAUAGGUUUUCUGAAAAGAACACCUUUAAAGAACCGAUUCGUGUAAAUAAAGCGGAUGUCCCUUAAAAGAAAGCGAGAUUUAUAGCGAUUCCACAAGGUGUACGGUAUUUGAGAGUGUGCACGCGCGAGAGCCGUUAAAUCUACGUGUCGCGCGCAUUGCUCCAGCAGUGCCAACUAAACAUUACAAAAAAAUUUUUUUACAAAACCUUUAUAUAUAUUGUCUGCAGUUCGAUACAUAACCAAGUGCGCAAUUAUGUGAGAACAUCACUCGUGAGAGUUUACAACUUAACCAACAUUUGGAGAAGAUGACUGAACAAAUGGAGAAUGUUUCAGUGAAGUUGUCUUGGAUGGCAUAUGAUAUGGUUGUGCUCCGAACCAGUCCAGAUCUUGCUGAAUCCUUCAAGAACCUGGAGAAUGAGUUCCUCAAGUGCAAAGCUGUCAUCUGUGGUCCCACAGAUGGACAAGAUAAAAAUUGUCAUCCUGCUACUGAAGAACAUAAUAUCCCCCCAAAAUAAAGUCAGAGUUUCAAUGUAGAACAGAGGCAUAUCUAAUAGGAUGAUGUUAAUGUUGUUAAAACUGAUGCAGUUAGAUCUUCCAGAGUUGUUUGGUGCCACUGUAUAUUUGUGAUUUAGCAUGGUUUUAUUCCCUCAUACAAAUGAAUAAAAAUAUCAACCAAGCAAACAUACUGCUUGUGAAUCUGAUUAAUCCAAUACCAAUAAAAUACAAAAAUGGGGCUUCUGAAUAUUCUGCUGUUCCAUUUUUAGAUUUUCUUAUUGUGUGUGCCAUCCAUUUAAGACAGGAGACCAUAUUCAAUUCAAUUCAAGUUUAUUUGUAUAGCGCAUUUUACGAUACAAAUCAUUGCAAAGCAACUUUACAGAAAAUUAAGUUUCUACAGUAGCUCAUCAUUGAUGACUGUCACUAUAUGUGCAUACGGCAGAAAUGUUCGGAAAAAUCA
ensembl:lncRNA